rnacentral:rRNA from 1 species
CUACGGGUCGCAGCAGUGGGGAAUAUUGGACAAUGGGGGAAACCCUGAUCCAGCAAUGCCGCGUGUGUGAAGAAGGCCUGUGGGUUGUAAAGCACUUUCGGUUGGGAGGACUGCUUCUAGCACUCAUAUUGUUGGAAGUUGACGUUACCUUCAGAAGAAGCACCGGCUAACUCCGUGCCAGCAGCCGCGGUGAAUACGGAGGGUGCAAGCGUUAAUCGGAAUUACUGGGCGUAAAGCGCGCGUAGGCGGCUAGAUCAGUCGGGUGUGAAAGCCCCGGGCUUAACCUGGGAACUGCAUCCGAUACUGUCUAGCUUGAGUACAGGAGAGGAGAGUGGAAUUCCACAUGUAGCGGUGAAAUGCGUAGAUAUGUGGAGGAACACCAAUGGCGAAGGCAGCUCUCUGGCCUGAUACUGACGCUGAGGUGCGAAAGCGUGGGGAGCAAACAGGAUUAGAUACCCUAGUAGUC